rnacentral:rRNA from 1 species
UACGAAGGGGGCUAGCGUUGCUCGGAAUCACUGGGCGUAAAGGGUGCGUAGGCGGGUCUUUAAGUCAGGGGGGAAAUCCUGGAGCUCAACUCCAGAACUGCCUUUGAUACUGAAGAUCUUGAGUUCGGGAGAGGUGAGUGGAACUGCGAGUGUAGAGGUGAAAUUCGUAGAUAUUCGCAAGAACACCAGUGGCGAAGGCGGCUCUUUGGCCUGUAACUGACGCUGAGGCGCGAAAGCGUGGGGAGCAAACAGG